GGGGAUUUAGCUCAGUGGUGUAAGCGCCUGCCUGGAAAGCACAAGGUCAUGGGUUCAAAUCCCAGUACCCCCU
rfam:Cavia porcellus supercont2_20 genomic scaffold, whole genome shotgun sequence.